GACGAACGCUGGCGGCGUGCUUAACACAUGCAAGUCGAACGGUGAAGCGCCUUCCUUUUUGGUGGGUGUGGAUGAGUGGCGAACGGGUGAGUAACACGUGAGUAACCUGCCCCCUUCUUCUGGAUAACCGCAUGAAAGUGUGGCUAAUACGGGAUAUUCUGGGUCUGUCGCAUGAUGGGUCUGGGAAAGAUAUUGUUUCGGUGGGGGAUGGGCUCGCGGCCUAUCAGCUUGUUGGUGGGGUGAUGGCCUACCAAGGCGGUGACGGGUAGCCGGCCUGAGAGGGUGGACGGUCACACUGGGACUGAGACACGGCCGAGACUCCUACGGGAGGCAGCAGUGGGGAAUAUUGCACAAUGGGCGAAAGCCUGAUGCAGCGACGCCGCGUGAGGGAUGGAGGCCUUCGGGUUGUGAACCUCUUUCGCCAGUGAAGCAGGCCUGCCUCGUUUGUGGGUGGGUUGACGGUAGCUGGAGAAGAAGCGCCGGCUAACUACGUG
rnacentral:rRNA from 1 species